rnacentral:rRNA from 1 species
AUACGUAGGGGGCGAGCGUUGUCCGGAAUUACUGGGCGUAAAGGGCAAGUAGGCGGGAAGAUAAGUCUGAUGUGAAAGACUCCGGCUCAACCGGGGGAACGCAUUGGAUACUGUCUUUCUUGAGGGGUUGUGAGGAAAGCGGAACUGCUGGUGUAGCGGUGAAAUGCGUAGAUAUCGGAAGGAACACCAGUGGCGAAGGCGACUUCCUGGGCCAAUACUGACGCUAAGGUGCGAAAGCGUGGGGAGCAAACAGGAUUAGAUACCCCAGUAGUCC